GACGAACGCUGGCGGCGUGCCUAAUACAUGCAAGUCGAACGCAGUGGGGACGGGUGAGUAACACGUGGGUAACCUCCCAUCAGAGGGGAUAACACUUGGAAACAGGUGCUAAACCGAUACUGAUGGAUGGACCCGCGGUGCAUUAGCUAGUUGGUGAGGUAACGGCUCACCAAGGCCACGAUGCAUAGCCGACCUGAGAGGGUGAUAGGCCACACUGUGACUGAGACACGGCCCAGACUCCUACGGGAGGCAGCAGGAGGGAAUCUUCGGCAAUGGACGAAAGUCGGACCGAGCAACGCCGCGUGAGUGAAGAAGGUUUUCGGACCGUAAAACUCUGUUUUUAUAGAAGCGGUAUCUAACUAGAUAGCCACGGCGAACUCCGCGCCAGCAGCCGCGGUAAUAC
rnacentral:rRNA from 1 species